UCAUUGGACGAAUGAAUGGGAUCGGUAGAUGAAAGACUUCAAACAAAAUCACCGUCAGUUCUGCUUCAUCACAAAUGGUACCUUCUAUCAAUUAAACUGGCUUCUUCAAAUGAUCUGUUCAUCAAUUUCGUUGAUCUGCUCCAUGAAAAUGAUGCAUCUCUUUUCAAUUACGAGCUCUGCAGAAUUUGAGCACGAAGUGUUUGAUAAUGCACUACUCUUUCUCGUAUAACGCCUUCCCUUUCGAGCGUCUACAGCAUUCCCGACGAAGAAUCAGAAUUAGGGCAAUCGUCAGAGAAACUCAAGACGCGUGAUCUGCAGUGAUAGCAAAUCGAAUGGUCACGGAAUCAGGCGCCUAUGCAAGAACUAUGAAACGAAUGAUUGCAAUUCGGAAGCAAACGAAUCGUCGAGGUCUUCAAUCCAUGGCUAUGGAUUUGCGGAGAAGGAUCGUUAGGUUUUUUCCACAAAUUGGACCCUAGGCCGAUCGGAAAUCAAACCAUAAAGGACAAGGUAACGUCGUUUCAAUAUUCUCUAGUUGUUGAACAGUUGAAAGACGAGGUAUACGGUGGCGAGCAUCGAGAUUGACCACGGACUCCAGGUAAAGUAAUCAGGCGCCGGAAUUGGUGGCGGUGAACUCGAUGCGUAAGACUUCAAACUCGUAGAUGAAACGAAAGCAUUUGAAGAAUCUGAGUGUUAACAUUUGGAGCCAUCAGCAAGGCACUGUUGAAGCAAGAACCAGAAGGGCCAUUGUUGAAGCUAAACAUGGAAGA